rnacentral:lncRNA from 1 species
UGGAAAUGAUUGGAUUCGGAUAUAUUAUCUUGAAUUAAUUUAUCUAAGUUCGAUUAUUUAUCUUUCCAUGCAAUCCUAUUAGCAUACAUCUAGACAGUUAUAUUCACAGUACGGAAAAAUUAAAGUGCGAAAAAUAAGACUACGCUAUUACAUGGCUUCGGGAUGGGGGGUACAUAAUUUAAAAGGGGAUAUAAAAUAUCUAAAUCUUAAUUAACGAGUACAAAAUUAAAAGGGCAUACAAAAUAAUAAAACCUAAUUAAACUAAAAAGAAAGAAAUAAAAAAAAUAAAAAAAAUUU